UUCCGGGCCAGGGAUCAGAUCCCAGCCACAGCUGCAACACACACUGCAGCUGUGGCAACACCAGAUCCUUUAACCCACUGUGCUGUGCAGGGGAUCGAAACUACGUCCUGGUGCUGCAAAGACACAGUUGAGCCCGUUGAACCACACUGGGAACUCCUUCAACGAAAUUUUUUAAAAAAGUAAUUGGGAGUCCCCAUUGUGGUUCAGCGGAAACGAAUCCAACUAGGAACUAUGAGGUUGCAGGUUCGAUCCCUGGCCUCAAUCAGUGGGUUAGGAUCUGGCGUUGUUGUGAGCUGUGGUGUAGGUCGCAGACGCAGCUCAGAUCUGGUGUUGCUAUGGCUCUGGCGUAGGCGGGCAGCUCUAGCUCCGAUGUGACUCCUAGCCAUAUGCUGCAGGCGCAGCCCUCAAAAGACAAGACAAAAAAAAAAAAAAAAAAAAAAAGUAAUUGGCACUCAGUAAAUAUAUGUUGAAUGAAUGAAUGCCUGACUCUUCAGACCCCUCACACAAGGGAAACACCACAUCUGGAAGAGAAGAAUGAAUCACUCAGCGCUGACUGCUGUCUAAACCUGACCUUGGUGUGUUUCUUAUGUAGAAGGGCUCAGAGACAUCCAAUUAGUUGCAAAUUACAUUCAAUCAGCUCUGAACCAGGGGAAGGACUGGGCUAAUGAGGUUCAAGGGCAGGUGGAGCCCCCAGCUGCUCAGGCCUUCAUGUUGAUGCUCCCUACCUGACCUAGACUUGCAGGACAUGUACUGAAGGGUUUGGACCCAUGACCUGCAUGCACUGAGCGAAGCAGUGCACCACCUUGCAGCCUGGGGAAAAAAAUCCAGCCAAGAACUCACAGCCCUAGCUCCACUGUUCUAUUGAAAGAUGCUAAACUCAAUCCUAGGGCCAGAAAGAAGCCUAAGGGGGAAUGUGAGUUUGUCAGCUGAGCAAAUGCUGUUUACCUUCUUAGGAAUUCUCUGAUCUUUUCUGACCAGACACACCCAGAAGGGCCAAGCAAAGGGCCCAGCAUCCAAGGGAGAGCACUCCUGGGAGGCAGCCGGGCAGGAGGGCCAGGCUUGAGCCAGGCAGGGAGCAGGAAGGGUGGCUCAGCUGGGUCAAGGGCCUACAGGCCACUGAGGCCAAUGGGAGAUAGGGAGGAAGGCCCUCAGUGUCGCCCAGCUAUGAUGCUAGAUGGUUUUAAGGGUUCCUCCAGCUCUCCAGCAGGGCCUGAGCCCAGAUGUACCCAGCCUGGCUGGAGGAGCCUGUGGAGCCAGCACACCCAGGCCAGGGCUGACUUUCCCACUGGGCCACAGCGUCCCCCUGUUGUCCCCGUCUCCGCCCCUGAUGCGGUUGAAUUCUGAGCAACCCUCAAUCGCCCUCACCCCUCCCGCCACCUCUUUCUGCUCCCCUGGCUGCACAGGUGCUCCCCCCGCUCGGAGUCCCCGGUGCACUCUCCCCAUCGAGGACACACUGUCCCCACGUGCCCUUACCCUUGUCCCACCGGGCUCCUGCUCUGGCCGCCCACCUGUCCGGGAGUCCCAUGGCGGGUGUGUGGGGGGUGCUGCGGAGCGGCUGCUGCGCGGGGUGGGGGCCAGGCCUGUCGUGCUCGGCGCUUGGCUCGCGGGAGG
rnacentral:lncRNA from 1 species